rnacentral:rRNA from 1 species
GACGAACGCUGGCGGCAGGCUUAACACAUGCAAGUCGAACGCCCCGCAAGGGGAGUGGCAGACGGGUGAGUAACGCGUGGGAAUCUACCGUACCCUACGGAACAACAGUUGGAAACGACUGCUAAUACCGUAUACGCCCUACGGGGGAAAGAUUUAUCGGGGUAUGCUGAGCCCGCGUUGGAUUAGCUAGUUGGUGGGGUAAAGGCCUACCAAGGCGACGAUCAAUAGCUGGUCUGAGAGGAUGAUCAGCCACAUUGGGACUGAGACACGGCCCAAACUCCUACGGGAGGCAGCAGUGGGGAAUAUUGGACAAUGGGCGCAAGCCUGAUCCAGCCAUGCCGCGUGAGUGAUGAAGGUCUUAGGAUUGUAAAGCUCUUUCACCGAUGAAGAUAAUGACGGUAGUCGGAGAAGAAGCCCCGGCUAACUUCGUGCCAGCCGCCGCGGUAA